rnacentral:rRNA from 1 species
AUUGAACGCUGGCGGCAGGCCUAACACAUGCAAGUCGAACGGUAACAGGAAACAGCUUGCUGUUUCGCUGACGAGUGGCGGACGGGUGAGUAAUGUCUGGGAAACUGCCUGAUGGAGGGGGAGAACUACUGGAAACGGUAGCUAAUACCGCAUAACGUCGCAAGACCAAAGAGGGGGACCCUCGGGCCUCUUGCCAGCGGAUGUGCCCAGAUGGGAUUAGCUUGUUGGUGGGGUAACGGCUCACCAAGGCGACGAUCCCUAGCUGGUCUGAGAGGAUGACCAGCCACACUGGAACUGAGACACGGUCCAGACUCCCACGGGAGGCAGCAGUGGGGAAUAUUGCACAAUGGGCGCAAGCCUGAUGCAGCCAUGCCGCGUGUAUGAAGAAGGCCUUCGGGUUGUAAAGUACUUUCAGCGGGGAGGAAGGGAGUAAAGUUAAUACCUUUGCUCAUUGACGUUACCCGCAGAAGAAGCACCGGCUAACUCCGUG